AAGAAGAAAAUGGGAAGCUGCGGAUUCAGAUCAAAGAUGACGGAGUCGGAUUUGAUGUGGAAGAGCAGAAGAAGAACAAAGGGCAGGCGGUGGAAGAUGAGAAGCAUACGCACAUCGGUCUUACCAAUACACAGCAGAUGCUUCAUACGAUAUACGGUGAAGA
rnacentral:misc_RNA from 1 species